rnacentral:lncRNA from 1 species
AUAUCUUUUCUCUAAACUGAUAAACAAAAAAAAAAAAAAUCAACUUACCCAAUAUACAAACAACAACAACAACAAAAUACAAAAAUCUUAGUUACAUAUUGAAGUAUGAAAAAGACUCUUUUCUUUUAGGUAUUGGAGUGUCCACAGAUCUCAAAGGAAAAAGUUAUUCACUGACUACAGUUGUCCACAGAAAAAAUGUACUCUUUUAUUUAUUAUUUUACUCUUUUCUUUCUCAAAACUUACUUUGUAAGGGCAAAUAAAAAUUUAAAAAGAGGCUAGUUCUCCCUGCUAAAAAUAAAGUGAACCCCCGCCUUUUCUUAGAUUAUAUUUACAUAAGAAACCAGCAAAAACAGGCAGUCUUUUCCCUGAUUUUUAUUGGCACUAUUGGGAAUGAUGCCAGGCUCAUGUACUUCAAAACCCAUGAAACUACCAAGGGCCAUUUUUUAUGGCUGCAUAGUAUUCCAUGGUGGGGAAGUUUAGAGAAAAAAGAAUAAAAAGAAAUGAGCAAAGCCUCCAAGAAAUAUGGGACUAUGUGAAAAGACCAAAUCUACGUCUGAUUGGUGUACCUGAAAGUGAUGUGGAGAAUGGAACCAAGUUGGAA